rnacentral:rRNA from 1 species
UACAGAGGUCCCGAGCGUUGUUCGGAUUCACUGGGCGUAAAGGGUGCGUAGGUGGCUUGGAAAGUUUGAUGUGAAAGCUCAGGGCUUAACCCUGAAAUGGCAUUGAAUACUGCUGAGCUGGAGGUUUGGAGGGGGGACUGGAAUUCUUGGUGUAGCAGUGAAAUGCGUAGAUAUCAAGAGGAACACCAGUGGCGAAGGCGAGUCCCUGGACAACACCUGACACUGAGGCACGAAAGCUAGGGGAGCAAACAGGA